UCGCGGCACUUGGCGAGAUCGAAGUCUCGGCGGUCAUGGUCAAAGUCGCGCCAAGGUCAAAUAGACAACAUUCAAUAGUUGAGAUUUGCAGUCAUCGUGACUGAGGAAAGCCUUACAAGUUGCAGCUGUCAAAAAGAGUCAAUUCUGCAAUUCGCUUGAGCCUUUCUUGCUCGCGGCUGUUUACCUUGUGACCCUGCAUGCAUACAAGCAUACGUAUGUUAGGAUUGGCUCCGACGGCGGGGCUGGAGAGAACUCGAAGGACUGGACCAAACGAAUGUCGCUGGAGCGUCGUGCUAACUUCACUUUGNNNNNNNNNNNNNNNNNNNNNNNNNNNNNNNNNNNNNNNNNNNNNNNNNNNNNNNNNNNNNNNNNNNNNNNNNNNNNNNNNNNNNNNNNNNNNNNNNNNNNNNNNNNNNNNNNNNNNNCGGACAGGCCACACCUGCACAGCCACUGCCCCCACACGCGCCAGCCCACACAAGGUGCCGCUGUCAUCCACUCACCUCUCAUUCUCACACACACCCUCACCCUCACUCACACACGCCCUCACCCUCACCCUCACUCACUCGCCCUCGCGGCCUCAGGGUGUGGGUGUGCGGGAGAUGGCCUCUGGCGACGCCCCAGUGGUGGGCGUGGCGGACUCCUUCCCGGGGCCGGGGCGCUACGUGGUGGACAUACCUUGCCCCAAAAGCCAGGUGGGGAGGGGGCAAGCAGAAUCAGCUGUAACAGGUUGGUGCGUCAAGAUCGGCAUGCCUCCUGCCCGGUGCAGGCCUGUGGUGGCACCAAGUUGACAACCGCUUCACACCAGCGAGCUCCAGCUUGCACCAAUCAUAAAACGGCAGUCGUUAUAUGUAUACAAUCGAUAGCCAGGCCAAACGGCUGCGUGGCUGGACUGCUGCACUCACUCACGUGGCCCCUGGUAGCAGGGUGCCCUAAAUGGGGGUUUUAAGGGGUUUUGCACGGUUUGAAAAGUGUGACAUGUCAGAAAUGAUCUGCACAGUAUAAUUCAGCUAAUAAUGACUAGAAUGAUUGUUUGAACCCCUUGUGGGUGACUGUGAUGAGAUUUGGGCACAUAGCAAUGACUUUGCAUGCCCCACUGCUCCCUCACCGCCUCCCAGGAUACGGCAUGUGACUUUAAUGGCCCUGGAUACUUGCACCACUGAGGCUUCUCAUUCGCCCAAGUCAUACUGAAUACUGCAUUGUGCUAUGGUGCAGGCUGACAGAUUGCACAUGCAUGCUGUGCAUGCACAUGCUGCUCAUUCCCCUUGUCCCCACACUGGAGGCUGAGCUGCCCAACCCAGAAUCCAACAUGCCUGCCUCGCUCAACCCUGUGCAGGACCCUUUCACAUGCAUGUAUGCACAUGUUGCCUGACCUGUUAGCAACAUAAGCUAAGUGCCGUGGUGCUAGCACCUGCAGUGCCUAAUGCGGCUCUGCACAUCAGGGCAAGUGUGCACGGCUUGCCUCUUCCCUCAUGGGUGAGGGUCAGCUGGUCAGGUAUCAUGUAGGCUGUCAAGUAAUGUGCAGCCAUGCUGACGGCAUUCAAUGUGAGUGAUGGGCUUUGGGAGUGCAAGCAGAAUCAGCUGUAACAGGUUGGUGCGUCAAGAUCGGCAUGCCUCCUGCCCGGUGCAGGCCUGUGGUGGCACCAAGUUGACAACCGCUUCACACCAGCGAGCUCCAGCUUGCACCAAUCAUAAAACGGCAGUCGUUAUAUGUAUACAAUCGAUAGCCAGGCCAAACGGCUGCGUGGCUGGACUGCUGCACUCACUCACGUGGCCCCUGGUAGCAGGGUGCCCUAAAUGGGGGUUUUAAGGGGUUUUGCACGGUUUGAAAAGUGUGACAUGUCAGAAAUGAUCUGCACAGUAUAAUUCAGCUAAUAAUGACUAGAAUGAUUGUUUGAACCCCUUGUGGGUGACUGUGAUGAGAUUUGGGCACAUAGCAAUGACUUUGCAUGCCCCACUGCUCCCUCACCGCCUCCCAGGAUACGGCAUGUGACUUUAAUGGCCCUGGAUACUUGCACCACUGAGGCUUCUCAUUCGCCCAAGUCAUACUGAAUACUGCAUUGUGCUAUGGUGCAGGCUGACAGAUUGCACAUGCAUGCUGUGCAUGCACAUGCUGCUCAUUCCCCUUGUCCCCACACUGGAGGCUGAGCUGCCCAACCCAGAAUCCAACAUGCCUGCCUCGCUCAACCCUGUGCAGGACCCUUUCACAUGCAUGUAUGCACAUGUUGCCUGACCUGUUAGCAACAUAAGCUAAGUGCCGUGGUGCUAGCACCUGCAGUGCCUAAUGCGGCUCUGCACAUCAGGGCAAGUGUGCACGGCUUGCCUCUUCCCUCAUGGGUGAGGGUCAGCUGGUCAGGUAUCAUGUAGGCUGUCAAGUAAUGUGCAGCCAUGCUGACGGCAUUCAAUGUGAGUGAUGGGCUUUGGGAGUGCAAGCAGAAUCAGCUGUAACAGGUUGGUGCGUCAAGAUCGGCAUGCCUCCUGCCCGGUGCAGGCCUGUGGUGGCACCAAGUUGACAACCGCUUCACACCAGCGAGCUCCAGCUUGCACCAAUCAUAAAACGGCAGUCGUUAUAUGUAUACAAUCGAUAGCCAGGCCAAACGGCUGCGUGGCUGGACUGCUGCACUCACUCACGUGGCCCCUGGUGGUGAGAGCAAACGUUUAUCUUUCUAUACAGGCCACGUUUGAGGACGCUGUUAAAAGCAAUAGAUAAAGGAUAGAACAUUUAGUAGUAUGCGUUGCUUAUACGCUCCCGCCAGCUCUUGUUGGUGGCGUGAUCGCGGCACUUGGCGAGAUCGAAGUCUCGGCGGUCAUGGUCAAAGUCGCGCCAAGGUCAAAUAGACAACAUUCAAUAGUUGAGAUUUGCAGUCAUCGUGACUGAGGAAAGCCUUACAAGUUGCAGCUGUCAAAAAGAGUCAAUUCUGCAAUUCGCUUGAGCCUUUCUUGCUCGCGGCUGUUUACCUUGUGACCCUGCAUGCAUACAAGCAUACGUAUGUUAGGAUUGGCUCCGACGGCGGGGCUGGAGAGAACUCGAAGGACUGGACCAAACGAAUGUCGCUGGAGCGUCGUGCUAACUUCACUUUGCCACUGCUCCUCUGAGCCGGUAGGAGUCGGCAGGCGCACAAGCGCGAUGGAGACAGGGAGACAAGGUGGGAGACAAUGAG
rnacentral:lncRNA from 1 species